GAUGAACGCUGGCGGCGUGCCUAAUACAUGCAAGUCGAGCGAACAGACGAGGAGCUUGCUCCUCUGACGUUAGCGGCGGACGGGUGAGUAACACGUGGAUAACCUACCUAUAAGACUGGGAUAACUUCGGGAAACCGGAGCUAAUACCGGAUAAAAUAUUGAACCGCAUGGUUCAAUAGUGAAAGACGGUUUUGCUGUCACUUCUAGAUGGAUCCGCGCCGCAUUAGCUAGUUGGUAAGGUAACGGCUUACCAAGGCAACGAUGCGUAGCCGACCUGGGAGAGUGAUCGGCCACACUGGAACUGAGACACGGUCCAGACUCCUACGGGAGGCAGCAGUAGGGAAUCUUCCGCAAUGGGCGAAAGCCUGACGGAGCAACGCCGCGUGAGUGAUGAAGGUCUUCGGAUCGUAAAACUCUGUUAUUAGGGAAGAACAAAUGUGUAAGUAACUAUGCACGUCUUGACGGUACCUAAUCAGAAAGCCACGGCUAACUACGUG
rnacentral:rRNA from 1 species